GCAAUCUUGACUUACUAUUUUCCACGUAGAAAGAAAUAGACCAUUGAUUGAUGGGAUGGGACUUACAGCAGAGACAGUCAAAACCACAAACCAGUCCUUCGUGUCAGAGAGCAUCAGAUUCGUCCAGCACUCUCCGACAGCUACUGCGGAAGAAGCGCUCCUUUCCUCUCUGAGCUUGGGGAAAGAUUUUGUCUUCCAGAAAAGAAGUCUCGGGCUUUCCCAGAGGACUUGAAAGACAUUUCCCGAACCAGCGACACCAAUUCUGCUGCAGGAAAGUUCCCUUCUCCUUUUCAACUUCACGUUGGGAAAAUGACUUUCUCUUCCACAUCUCAAUUUCCCCUAAACUUUGGCAAGUGAAGAGACAUCAAUCUGGUUAUCCAAUAGGACAGAGGGCGGGGCCCCGCACUCCCACUACAAACUUCGAUUCCACACGGUUGCUUUGUGCAUGACUUAUUUGCUACGAAGAGCCAAGUUGCAGAGCGGCUCCAUACACCAGCCCACGCACAGGUCCUGAGCAGACCAGAGAGCUCGGCGCCUCCCUCUGUCCAGCGGGGGAUGAAGUCCUGCAAGCCCAGCAACCCGGCGGCGGGAGCGCGUGCCGCGCCCCCGUGCGCGGGCGGCGCCGAGUGCGCGG
rnacentral:lncRNA from 1 species